GACGAACGCUGGCGGCGUGCUUAACACAUGCAAGUCGAACGGAAAGGCCCUGCCUUGGUGGGGUGCUCGAGUGGCGAACGGGUGAGUAACACGUGGGUAACCUGCCCUUCACUUUGGGAUAAGCUCAGGAAACUGGGGCUAAUACCGGAUAGGAGCUCCUGCUGCAUGGUGGGGGUGGGAGAGUUUCGGUGGUUGGGGAUGGACUCGCGGCUUAUCAGCUUGUUGGUGGGGUAGUGGCUUACCAAGGCUUUGACGGGUAGCCGGCCUGAGAGGGUGACCGGCCACAUUGGGACUGAGAUACGGCCCAGACUCCUACGGGAGGCAGCAGUGGGGAAUAUUGCACAAUGGGCGGAAGCCUGAUGCAGCAACGCCGCGUGCGGGAUGACGGCCUUCGGGUUGUAAACCGCUUUCGCUUGUGACGAAGCGUGAGUGACGGUACCGGGAGAAGAAGCACCGGCUAACUACGUG
rnacentral:rRNA from 1 species